GAACCCGUGUUUCCUUUUCGCUGAGGGCUCUGUGCUCCCCCGUCCACCUCCUCACCAUUAGCCGAGCCCGGCAUCCUGCAGGAAAGCCGCAGCCCCGGGGUUCAUCACGCACAUGUGCUGAGCUACUCCUUAUCCUUCCUGCCCCUCAAGGUCCUCCAGGACACUGUGCUGGGCCUCUGCCUGCCCCUCCCUCCUGUGGAAUGGGAGGAACGGCCACUCAGCCAAGACGCCCUUUAAGUUGAAGAUGACAGCUGCCCUUUGAACCCUGGCUGUCUUUCCUUUGUUUUCUAUAUUUUCCUUUCUCCCAUAUUUAACACCUCACCCUUUUCUGCAUGUUUUAUCUGCUGCUCUGAUCCGUUUCCCUAGCCUUUCAUGAACGCCUGUUAGCCUGCACCUCUAGUGAGACUAAAUACCAGAGAUAUGAAGUUUGAGAAGUUUUUGUGUCAAACACAGGUGAAGGACUGAAAAUAAUUUACUCAAGAUAAGAAGAUGUAGCUAAAAAACGUAAUAUCGCAAUAUUGCGAAAAAAAAAAAUACCUUGAAACUGUUAUGAUAUCAAUCACGAUAUCACAUGGUUAUUUCGCUCGUAUAAGCUCCAUGUCAAAAAAUACAUACUACAUUAAUGAAUGUGUUGUGCUCUAUCGGCCUACUGUAACCCACAUGACAAUAGGGCAUUAAAUCUAUUACUAUUACAACAAUAAUUUAUAAAUUGGCCAAAUACAAACAAAACACAUUUACAGUAUAUUACCAAAAUGAUAAUUUACCUCUUUUAAAAAAAAGACAAUGGUAUGCAGAUUGUGAGGUGACGUUACGACAUAACGUGGAGAGUGCGGGUUUUUUUUGCAGAAGGCUUGAGGUUGAGGCUCGAGUGCUAACAGCAGGCUGCCAUGGGAUUUAAAAUACAGUAAAAAGAAAACUUGCUAAACUUGAUUUUAAAUUUGUGGUAUAGGAAGAUUUUUUAAAUUAACUAAGGGAAGAUGGAAGAAAUGUUUUAAACCACGAUAAAUUGUUUUUUUCUGCACUACACUGACUCUUCCGAAGAUUUGGCAGGGAUGUUCCUGCAUGUGCUUCAUCGAUCAGGGACCCAUCGAACGGAGUUCAUAUCAGGAUGGUGGCUGACACGACAUAUUUUCCAACGCGCGCUCUCUGUCCGAUUGUGGGAGUGUGCUCACCUGUGUGCGUGUGCAUCGGGGCAGAACUCCACCAUGUGUGAUACAGAGAGCAAAGAAGAAUUGUAAACACGCGACCGUGUUGAGACAAAAAUGACAAGCUGUUGUGAAAAUAAUAGAGAUGUAACGAUAAAUGUAAUAUCGCGAUAUCACAAUAAAAACAUACCUCGACACCAUUGUCGGACUAUUACGAUAUCAAUCACUAUAUCACGUUAUUCGAUCGUAUAAGCUCCAUCUGUUAAUAUCGUGAUAAUUGUCAUAUCGUAAACUUGCAAUAUUAUCGUAAUGUGAGAAUUUGGUAUCGUUGCAUCCCUAGUAAAUAAGAUAAAUAAUGUAAGACUAUUUAUGUCAUGACCUGCGUAUCCAGUCCUCGAGUGUGCCACGCCCCCCUGAUCAACCACGUGUGCUCCCUCGAUUGUGCCCAGCUGUUUUCCAUCGGUCUGAUGUGUUCAGUGUAUUUAAUCCGCGUCUGAGUCCAUUUUCCCCAGAUCUGUAAUUGAUGGUCUGUACCGUGUUUCCUCGUCU